GAGACAGCCCUCUACAGCGAC
rnacentral:sRNA from 1 species